AGUGAACGCUGGCGGUAGGCCUAACACAUGCAAGUCGAACGGCAGCACAGUAAGAGCUUGCUCUUACGGGUGGCGAGUGGCGGACGGGUGAGGAAUACAUCGGAAUCUACUUUUUCGUGGGGGAUAACGUAGGGAAACUUACGCUAAUACCGCAUACGACCUACGGUUGAAAGCAGGGGAUCUUCGGACCUUGCGCGAUUGAAUGAGCCGAUGUCGGAUUAGCUAGUUGGCGGGGUAAAUGCCCACCCAGGCGCCGAUCCGUAGCUGGUCUGAGAGGAUGGUCAGCCACACUGGAAGUGGAACACCGUCCAGAGUCCUACGGGAGGCAGCAGUGGGGAAUAUUGGACAAUGGGCGCAAGCCUGAUCCAACCAUACCGCGUGGGUGAAGGAGGCCUUCGGGGUGUAAAGCCCUUUUUUUGGGAAAGAAAAGCAGCAGGUUAAUACCCCGCGGGUCUGACGGUUACCAAAGAAUAAGCACCGGCUAACUUCGUG
rnacentral:rRNA from 1 species